rnacentral:lncRNA from 1 species
AUCAACAACAAAACAACGACAACACCAUCAAGAAACAAUGUCGGUCAAAGCUCAGACCACCGGAUACUUAAGAAAUCCGGUGGUUUUUCACCUCUCUCUCGCCUGCCUCUCUAUCACCUUCGCCCAUCACUUCUUGUUGAAGCAGAGUAGAGCCCAAGGCUCUGCAUUUUCUGGAAAAGAUGGUAAAGCUCAUGGACCUUCAUGUUCUGAGGAUGCUUAGCCCUUCAAACCAGUAGAUUCAAGUGUAAUAGCCUCCAAUACGUCAUUUUUCAUUCAAAUCAACUGAAAAGGUGACCUCUCCCUCCUUUAUUUCUUUUCAUCAAUCAAUCUUACUGAUUUCUAAAUGAUCUGGCCUUUCCAAAUGAAAUUUAAAUUUCAAAAUUGUGGAAAAUGUUAGAAGUUUCUCUAAGAAGUUAAGGCAGUCCAAUUUUUCCUAUAAAAAGAGGGCCUUGUUCACCCAUUUAAGACAUGGUUCAAAAGAGAGAAAUUGAAAAAGAUUUUUAAGUUUUAUCUCACUCUCCGAUUCACUGAGUUAUCUAUUUCCUUAUUCCGAUUUACUCACACUGCUCUCAUCGUUACUUUUUGUCAUUCGAAUUCGGAGUCGUCGUUAGUGGUAGAAUUGCUCUUUUCCUCGGCUUCCUAGUUCGCUGCUUCAUACAAGGUAAAUUCUAUCCCAUCUAAUUACAUUAUGUUUAGUUUUGGUGAUUCACUGAUUGCUUGAAUUUGUCAUCUUGUUUGGCUGAUUAUGAGCAUAAACAUGAAAUGAAAAUGGCAUCUGGUUAUUGAAUUUUGUUCACAUUAUGCGAUGUAUUUAUGGAAGAUGUUUUGUUCGUAAUUUGGUCUAAAUGAAACUAAUGAACUCUGAGGGUAUGAAAAAAGUACUGUUUUGUUUUACUGGUCAUGAAUGUGAACUCAAAGUGCUAGUUCUCACGUCAUUAGAAUUUACACAUGUUUGACAGUACGUUGGUAGAUUUACCUUUGAUUAGCUUGAAACAUACUCCUUAAAGUUGUACGUUCGUGAUACAUGUUUAGUGGACUAUUUUGGGGUUAUUUUGAUGUCGGUUUGGCCAUUUUGAUGUGGUAGUGGUGACUUAAAUAUGUAUACGUUUGGAUAGUAUAUUUACAAAAUAUUGUCGGCCAUUAAUUUAGCUUGAGAAUGGUCCUACAAGGCUUAAAAUUUCAGGUAUGCUUGGCGAUCUGUCAUGGAAAGCUUGGUGACUGUUUUUCUCUUUCUUGUUCUCUUCUCUUUUGUGUUGGUUUUGGACAGUGUAUGGAUGUUGAUGUGCGUAGAAUAUAGUUUGAAUCAUGAACAACUCAUAAUACCUUUCACGAUAUUAAGGAAAAUAUCCAUAUGAAUACAUGAUCUUUCUUUCUUAAGUUUUAUGAUGAUAUUGUUGACAGCUUUCUGGAAAGCAAUUCUGAAGUUGUUCUUUCAUCUUUUUUUCUAUCUUUUAAAAUUUAUUUGGUUCAAGAUAAGGCUGGUUUCCACCUAGAUGCGAAAUAAUGUUAAAGUCCUCUUGAUUCUUUGUUUUUUUUUUGCUUUUUCUAUGUUAUAUAGAAAAGAUGAGUGUUUCAUUUAAUUAAAAAUGUGUGUUGAAAUAGUUCUUCUUGCCUUUAGUAUGUAUAUUUUGAUCGGAAUGAAUUAUAAGCAUUUACACAGGUUAUAGUUGUUCUUUUCUAUGAAGAUUUUCUUUCUUCUUUGUUGUUCGUUUGUUCAUUUAGAUUUGAAACGAUCCGCUCGGGAUGACUCUACGAGUCGAUCUCGGAUAGGUCAAGUUUUGGACUGUAAGGGUUGUUUUUCUUGACAUUAUUAGAGGUUAAAUUUGAUGACUCGAUUUCUUUCAUAGUUUGAUAUUUUAGGAAUUUGGCCAUAUCACGAAUAUGAGUUUUUUUUUAAAAAAGGGGCAGCAUACGUUUUCGAUGUAAAAAUUGAAUUUGUUGAACUGAUGUUGCAAUCUUUUCAUGUAUAUGUUGCUGUAACAACUACAGUUUAACUAAUAUUCAUGUUUUUACUUUCCUUUCCUUUUCUGUCAUGACUUGAACAUGGUCUUGGUGUAUAACAUUGAUUAGAAAUCACGUUAGAGAAUUCUUUUACGGUUUUAAGUUCACCAUCAAUGCUUUGUUUGGAUCAAAGAAUGGAUACUAUGUGCAUGAUUGUAAGUUACAUUACCUAGACUUAUAAUUUGAGUAACCUCCUUUGCAAGUUUGUGGUUUUUUUUUAUGUAACUUGUAGUUUUGCAAGUCAUUUUUGUCAACAUUACUUUUUAUUCAUAGCUUGUCAUCUAGGUAUGUUUUAUGAAUAUUUCAUUUAGCUCGAAGUGACGUUUCUUUUGUAUUAGGCGGGAAAAGGCGAAAUUUGGUUUCUCACUUGAACUUAUGUAGUUAAAAAGGACUUUGGAGAGAAAGGAGUUUCAAGAUUAAAUAUUUGUCUCUCGUCUUCAAUAUUUCUAACCUUAUUCGGAUUCUCAAAAUAACAGAGCCAUUUGAUUGUUCUAUUUAUCUUUGUUUAAACCCUUUCUUUUUUUUUUUUCUUUUUUUGAAUGUGUAUUUAUAAAGUUGUGUUUGUCUAUUUUGAAAAAUAAAAACAGCACGUGGACUAUAUAGAAAGGAUUGAGAAAUUCCAAAGCAGAGUAAUACUUUAGAUUAGUCAAGUAUGUAAGCACGGUAUAAUUUAAGGUUCUGCUUAUGCUUGUUCUACAUAGUUUUCAAAAAAAAAAAUCAGCUUGUGGUAUGUUAUGAUUUUUUGUAAGAGGAAAAGUUUAUUUUGAUUUUCUGAAGGAGAGGUGAACAUUAAUCAUUAUUCCUUUUUGAUAAUGUUGUGAUAAGGAUAAAAGGAAAGUUUUGUUUAGUCAAUAAGCAUGUAUGGUGAAGUUUGGUCGAGAUUAUAUGCGUAAGGUAUAUGUAAAGUGGUAGCAUCAUAUCUUUGAAUAUAUCACAGCUUCUAAUCCUGCUAUAAGUCAUCUUGAUUUUUGUCUAUUUGCAUUUGGAAGAGUUUUUUUUUUCUAAAAAAGGAGGCUUAACUUGUCAUUUUCAAAAUGUCUAUCAAGAAACUGUGUUGGAUACAUUCUCAUGGUUGACUUGGACCCAUCUUACAAUUUAGCAAAAGUGUGUAAAAGUUUGGUUGAGUACUUUUCUCCUGGGCAAAAUUGGGCAAAAUAGCUCGGUAAACUCUUGUACUUGGUCUGUUUUGUAAAAUGGAUACUUCUACUUAACAAUUUGUCAUCUGAACCCUCAACUCAAUGAAAUAAAAUAGCUUGGUAGACUCUUGUAUACUUGGUCUGUUUUGUAAAAUGGAUACUUCUACUUAACAAUUUGUUAUCUGAAUUCCUCAACUCAAUGAAACUCAAUAUUGUAAGACCUUUGACCGUUGACCGGAUCUAUGUGGCAUUAAAAUAGGUGAGUAGGACGAAAUGCGUGACUGCACGCGCCUGAGGUGCGAGUGAGGGUGUUUUUUUGAUAUUCUUACAUUAAAACUAUUUUAAAAAAUUAAAAAAAAAAGAAGGAACAACAAGCCAGCCCCACCCCCUCCCACCCCACCCCACAAACCACCAUUGCAGCAUCUCAUCAUCUCCAUUGAAAAAGAAAGAAAAAGCCAGCCUCUUCCUCUCUGUCAAAGGUUCCGGCAUCUCAUCAUCCUCCUCCAGCAUCCUCGUCGACAAUUUCACCCCUAAUAAAACUCCAAGCUCUUGUCUCUAACAAAAUCCGGCUGCUGCAAAAACACCCACAAUCGUCCUCUCCCCUCCGCCCCUCCCUCCAACCCCACCCCACCCCACAAACCACCAUUGCAGCCCCUAAAAGCUCCCGUAAUCAUCCUCCCUCCGCCCUCCAAUUGCGACGCCAUUAAAGACCCUCACCUCCAAACUCCCCAAUCGCCCUCCUCCGCUGCAAUUGCCACCAUUAAACCAAACAAUUCAAUAAAAUACCCUCACAAAGACACUCCAAUACAUACAUCACUCGCAUACAAUGGAGAGAGAUCCUCUCCAUCAUCAUACAAACUAUUUACACACACCCACACACUAAUACAGAAAAGAUACACUACACAUACAUAGAAAACAAAAAGACAGAGAGACGGGAGAAAGAGUGAAAAAUGGAGACAACUGAAACACAGGGAGUGGGAGGAGGCUGGUUCUUGAUGGAGGUUUAUAGCGGGUUCUGGCGAGUUCUUGCCGGAAGUCUUUCUCUCUUGUCGUUCCUUUAUGUUUUUUGUGUUUCAGUUUUAAAAAUGAAAAUAUUAAUAAUUAAAAAGGUGAAUUUUAGAUGAAUUUUUUUUUAAAGGGUGAAUUAAAAAUGAAAAAUUUAAAGAGUUGAUUUUUUUUAAUUUACUUUCUCAAUUUAAAUUUAUUUAAUAUUUAAUUUUUUAUGUGGUAUUUUAAAAAUGAUGUGGAAUUUAAUGUAAUAUUUAAAAAUGACGUGGA